AAAUUGAAGAGUUUGAUCAUGGCUCAGAUUGAACGCUGGCGGCAGGCCUAACACAUGCAAGUCGAACGGUAACAGGAAGAAGCUUGCUUCUUUGCUGACGAGUGGCGGACGGGUGAGUAAUGUCUGGGAAACUGCCUGAUGGAGGGGGAUAACUACUGGAAACGGUAGCUAAUACCGCAUAACGUCGCAAGACCAAAGAGGGGGACCUUCGGGCCUCUUGCCAUCGGAUGUGCCCAGAUGGGAUUAGCUAGUAGGUGGGGUAAAGGCUCACCUAGGCGACGAUCCCUAGCUGGUCUGAGAGGAUGACCAGCCACACUGGAACUGAGACACGGUCCAGACUUCUACGGGAGGCAGCAGUGGGGAAUAUUGCACAAUGGGCGCAAGCCUGAUGCAGCCAUGCCGCGUGUAUGAAGAAGGCCUUCGGGUUGUAAAGUACUUUCAGCGGGGAGGAAGGGAGUAAAGUUAAUACCUUUGCUCAUUGACGUUACCCGCAGAAGAAGCACCGGCUAACUCCGUGCCAGCAGCCGCGGUAAUACGGAGGGUGCAAGCGUUAAUCGGAAUUACUGGGCGUAAAGCGCACGCAGGCGGUUUGUUAAGUCAGAUGUGAAAUCCCCGGGCUCAACCUGGGAACUGCAUCUGAUACUGGCAAGCUUGAGUCUCGUAGAGGGGGGUAGAAUUCCAGGUGUAGCGGUGAAAUGCGUAGAGAUCUGGAGGAAUACCGGUGGCGAAGGCGGCCCCCUGGACGAAGACUGACGCUCAGGUGCGAAAGCGUGGGGAGCAAACAGGAUUAGAUACCCUGGUAGUCCACGCCGUAAACGAUGUCGACUUGGAGGUUGUGCCCUUGAGGCGUGGCUUCCGGAGCUAACGCGUUAAGUCGACCGCCUGGGGAGUACGGCCGCAAGGUUAAAACUCAAAUGAAUUGACGGGGGCCCGCACAAGCGGUGGAGCAUGUGGUUUAAUUCGAUGCAACGCGAAGAACCUUACCUGGUCUUGACAUCCACAGAACUUUCCAGAGAUGGAUUGGUGCCUUCGGGAACUGUGAGACAGGUGCUGCAUGGCUGUCGUCAGCUCGUGUUGUGAAAUGUUGGGUUAAGUCCCGCAACGAGCGCAACCCUUAUCCUUUGUUGCCAGCGGUCCGGCCGGGAACUCAAAGGAGACUGCCAGUGAUAAACUGGAGGAAGGUGGGGAUGACGUCAAGUCAUCAUGGCCCUUACGACCAGGGCUACACACGUGCUACAAUGGCGCAUACAAAGAGAAGCGACCUCGCGAGAGCAAGCGGACCUCAUAAAGUGCGUCGUAGUCCGGAUUGGAGUCUGCAACUCGACUCCAUGAAGUCGGAAUCGCUAGUAAUCGUGGAUCAGAAUGCCACGGUGAAUACGUUCCCGGGCCUUGUACACACCGCCCGUCACACCAUGGGAGUGGGUUGCAAAAGAAGUAGGUAGCUUAACCUUCGGGAGGGCGCUUACCACUUUGUGAUUCAUGACUGGGGUGAAGUCGUAACAAGGUAACCGUAGGGGAACCUGCGGUUGGAUCACCUCCUUA
rnacentral:rRNA from 1 species